rnacentral:rRNA from 1 species
UCCGUAGGUGAACCUGCGGAAGGAUCAUUAUUGAAUGAACUUGGUGUGGUUGUUGCUGGCUCUCUUGUGGGGGCAUGUGCACACCCGCCAUCCUCAUCUCUCCACCUGUGCACCUCUUGUAGACCUGGAUGAAUUUUCCGAGGUAACUCGGUCGGGAGGAAUGCUGCGCUCUUUGCGUCGGCUUUCUUUGCACUUCCAAGCCUACGUUUUUUUCAUAUACCCGUAGUAUGUAACAGAAUGUAUCAUUGGGCCUAAGUGCCUAUAAACCUUAUACAACUUUCAGCAACGGAUCUCUUGGCUCUCGCAUCGAUGAAGAACGCAGCGAAAUGCGAUAAGUAAUGUGAAUUGCAGAAUUCAGUGAAUCAUCGAAUCUUUGAACGCACCUUGCGCUCCUUGGUAUUCCGAGGAGCAUGCCUGUUUGAGUGUCAUUUAAUUCUCAACCUUAUUAGCUUCUGCCGAUAAUGGCUUGGAUGUGGGGGUUUUCUUUUGCUGGCUUUCGUCAGCUCCCCUUAAAUGCAUUAGCUGGUGCCCCGCGUGGACUGUCCGUUCGGUGUGAUAAUUAUCUACGCCGUGGAUGUCUGCAAAUAGGGUUUGCACUGCUUC